GAUGAACGCUGGCGGCGCGCCUAACACAUGCAAGUCGAACGAACUUGAUAGAGCUUGCUCUUGAAAAGUGAGUGGCGGACGGGUGAGUAACACGUGAGCAACCUACCUUUCAGUGGGGAAUAACAUUUGGAAACAGAUGCUAAUACCGCAUAUAAUCUUUGAGUGGCAUCACUUAAAGAUGAAAGAUUUAUCGCUGAGAGAUGGGCUCGCGUCUGAUUAGAUAGUUGGUGGGGUAAUGGCCUACCAAGUCGACGAUCAGUAGCCGGACUGAGAGGUUGAUCGGCCACAUUGGGACUGAGACACGGCCCAGACUCCUACGGGAGGCAGCAGUGGGGGAUAUUGCACAAUGGGGGAAACCCUGAUGCAGCGACGCCGCGUGAGCGAAGACGGUCUUCGGAUUGUAAACUUCUAUCAACGGGGAAGAAAAAAUAGACGGUACCCGAAUAAGAAGCCCGGCUAACUACGUGCCAGCAGCCGCAGUAAC
rnacentral:rRNA from 1 species